rnacentral:rRNA from 1 species
GAUGAACGCUGGCGGCGUGCUUAACACAUGCAAGUCGAACGAAGCAAUUUUGAAACUUCGGUUUCAAAAUUGACUUAGUGGCGGACGGGUGAGUAACGCGUAGGUAACCUGCCUUAUACAGGGGGAUAACAGCUGGAAACGGCUGCUAAUACCGCAUAACACAGUGAAGUCGCAUGACUUUAUUGCCAAAGAUUUAUCGGUAUAAGAUGGACCUGCGUCUGAUUAGCUAGUUGGUGAGGUAAUGGCUCACCAAGGCGACGAUCAGUAGCCGACUUGAGAGAGUGAUCGGCCACAUUGGGACUGAGACACGGCCCAAACUCCUACGGGAGGCAGCAGUGGGGAAUAUUGCACAAUGGGGGAAACCCUGAUGCAGCGACGCCGCGUGAGUGAUGAAGUAUUUCGGUAUGUAAAGCUCUAUCAGCAGGGACGAAAAAAGACGGUACCUGACUAAGAAGCCCCGGCUAACUACGUGCCAGCCGCCGCAGUAA